rnacentral:rRNA from 1 species
CCCGACUGCUAUUUGGGUGAGGAUAAGCCAUGCGAGUUGAAUGGGAAACCUAAAGUUCCCAUGGCAAACUGCUCAGUAACACAUGAUCAACUUACCCUAUAGAGAAAAAUAACCUCGGGAAACUGAGGAUAAUGUUUCAUAGUUGAAUUGGCUUGGAAAAGUUUUUCGAUAAAAGGGGUAAAAAAAAUGGUUUUUAUCUGCUAUAGGAUAGGAUCGUGUUCGAUUAUGGUUGUUGGUGAGGUAAUGGCUCACCAAGCCGAUAAUCGAUAGGGGCCGUGAGAGCGGGAGCCCCGAGAUGGGUACUGAGACAACGACCCAGGCCUUACGAGGCGCAGUAGGCGCGAAACCUCCGCAAUACACGAAAGUGUGACGGGGUUACCCAAAGUGUUCAAUUUUGAACUGUGGUAGGUGAGUAAUGUUCCCUACUAGAAAGGAGAGGGCAAGGCUGGUGCCAGCCGCCGCGGUAAAACCAGCUCUUCAAGUGGUCGGGAUAAUUAUUGGGCUUAAAGUGUCCGUAGCCGGUUUAGUAAGUUCCUGGUAAAAUCGGGUAGCUUAACUAUCUAUAUGCUAGGAAUACUACUAUACUAGAGGGCGGGAGAGGUCUGAGGUACUACAGGGGUAGGGGUGAAAUCUUAUAAUCCUUGUUGGACCACCAGUGGCGAAGGCGUCAGACUGGAACGCGCCUGACGGUGAGGGACGAAAGCCAGGGGAGCGAACCGGAUUAGAUACCCGGGUAGUCCUGGCCGUAAACGAUGCAUACUAGGUGAUGGCACGGCCAUGAGCCGUGUCAGUGCCGUAGGGAAACCGUUAAGUGUGCCGCCUGGGAAGUACGGUCGCAAGGCUAAAACUUAAAGGAAUUGGCGGGGGAGCACCACAAGGGGUGAAGCCUGCGGUUC